UUCUUGAUAUUUUUUCAUGUGUAGAACACCAUCACAAAGCUACAGGGGUUAUUUGUCACAUGGAGAGUGCAGUCACAUAGCUUGAACUGGGCAACUGACAUGAAAAUGAUGGCUCGAUAUGUGUCUAGUUAGAGAGGAAAACUGAAGAAGAUAAUGCUCCUGCUAAGAACAGGAAAAGUUUCAGGAGAUCUAUAUCUUUAACCUACACUGCUGCUGGAAUUCUGGCUUUCUACCACACUAAGAAUUCUGGUUUGCACUACUGACAUCAUCAACUGACAAUUAUGCUUCACUCAUCACAAAAGGAAGUUUUCCCUACAGUUCCAAACAGCAAGAAGUACCAGUAGCUUGACAUUCUCCUGUUCAAAACAUAGCAAUCCAACCGAUCAGUGGUUCCUGUACUAUACAUGCUACACUGCAAGUUAAAUUCUGUGUAAAACAGUUGGAACAAAUAACAGGAAAAAUGCAAACAAGCCAUUGUGAAGAUACAAGUGAAAAGAAUAUUGAAAGUCACAGUCGGGACAACUGAACAAAUAGCAGUAGAAUCUGCUCCUUUUUUCUAGCAAAUAUUUUAAUGUGUAAUGAACGCCUGAUCUACAUGUAACUUCCACGAGACAACUGACACUUUUUAUUUAUUUUUAACAAAUGAAAGAAAGUUAUAAACUUCUUACAUGUGCAUGAAACUCCAGUCUUGCAGUAUGCAAUUAUGAUCUGUUGUAAAUGAUUCAGUGAAUCAGGAAAUUGCAUUUUUUGUUCACUUUCUGAACAGUGCAGUAGUUUUAGGCAGACACACACCAAGUGUACUGCAUUCAGCAGGACUCAAAACUGCUGAGCAAGUCUGCAUGUGGAAAAAAGUAAAAAAAAUUCAACCUUCGCGUAAGGGGCAAAUAAAAAAUAGUACCCUUGAAGGCUUAGCAAACAUCAGUUUAUUUUAUAUUAAGAUAUUUAUCUACUACAUUAUUUGUCCUGCUGAGCCCAAAUCUGCUAAAAAGAAAUGUUUACUCUUCCAGGUAUAUCAGCUAUGAGAAGGUAUUCGUUUGAUGUAAUUAUUGUAA